rnacentral:rRNA from 1 species
GUGGGGAAUAUUGUGCAAUGGGGGAAACCCUGACACAGCAACGCCGCGUGAAGGAAGAAGGUUUUCGGAUUGUAAACUUCUUUUGUCGAGGACGAAGAACGUGACGGUACUCGACGAAUAAGCCACGGCUAACUACGUGCCAGCAGCCGCGGUAAUACGUAGGUGGCAAGCGUUGUCCGGAUUUACUGGGUGUAAAGGGCGAGUAGGCGGGACUGCAAGUCAGAUGUGAAAUACCGGAGCUUAACUCCGGGGCUGCAUUUGAAACUGUGGUUCUUGAGUGAUGGAGAGGUAGGCGGAAGUCCCGGUGUAGCGGUGGAAUGCGUAGAUAUCGGGAGGAACACCAGUGGCGAAGGCGGCCUACUGGACAUUAACUGACGCUGAGGAGCGAAAGCGUGGGGAGCAAACAGGAUUAGAAACCCCUGUAGUCC